AAUGUCUUUUAAGACAUUUUUCAACCUUACAUAUUUUAAACAUUUUUUUCAAAUUAUAUUUUGACCCAAUAUUUUUAUUAUUUUUAUCACAUUACAUUUUUGGACAUAUAUUAUUAUUUUUUUGUCUGUUCUAAAAAAAUAUCUUUUUAUUUUUAUUUCCAUGACAUUUCUAGACACAACUUAUUCUGACAGCUUUUAAAAACAUGUUUUGACGUUCUAUAUUACUUUCUAUCUCUUGACUUGACUUUUUUCAAAUUAUAUUUCGACCCAAUAUUUUGUCUUUUUUCUCAUUUCUAAAUACAACACUUUUUAAAAACGUUUUUCAAAAUAUUUUUCAACUUUAGAUAUUUUGACAUUCUUUUUUCAAAAUAUUUUUUGACCAAAUAUUUUUGUCUUUUUUCCAUCACAAUCGACACAAUGUAUUUUGACUGUUUUUCUAAAUAUUCUUCCAUUUUAGAUAUUUUGACUUUCUUUUUCAAAAAAAAAUGUUUACCUUAUACUUUCCAACUUUUUCUCUCGGGACAUUUUUCCUCCUUUUUGACUUUCAAAAUAUUUUUUGACCCAAUUAUUUUGUCAUUUCUUCCAUUGCAUUAUUAGACAAAACUUAUUUGAACUAAACAUGGUUGACUUUCUAUUCUAUUGUAUUUUUUGACUUGCCGGCAGCAGCAUCCUCUUCAGUCAUUUCCGAUUCUCUCCCCCACACUUUGUUUGCUCGUGGUCAUUUGAAGCGUCCUCUGUGUGUUUUCUAUCGUUUGAUAGUGUUUCUGUGCAGAUGAAGCCAACGAGCCUCUUUGCAUUAAGUUCACCAUUACUCUUCUUCUCUGAGCGCUCACGGCGCCUCGUGGCGACAGGAAGCGUCUUUGAAGUGAGAUGUUUCUCUGUUUCAGCUUCCAGCUCUUUAAUCUCAUGAAACACUCUUGUUCAUAAACAACACGACUCACGAGAGGUUUCUGUGGCCGAUAUGACGAGUGAAAAUGUCCACCUCUACAUGUACAUGUAUGUGCUUCAUGCUGCUUUUAAAUAACAUUUGAUCCAAGUUCAGGGAGAAAUAACUCGUCCCGAUGGGCAGCCUGAUGGACAGCCGUGUGCAGGUGUGUGUUGUGUGUCUGUUGUGUGUGUGUUUGUGCUGCAGUGAGGGUUUGAAGGACACACCUCAAAAAAGAUCACAUCACACAGAGAAAUGAGGGUUUCUCCGUUUUGUAAUUUCAUGUCUGGCAAAAUUUGAAAAAACACUGAAAAAACACUGUCAAAGAACAUGUUUGUGUUGAUGAAAUGAUCGAGGCUCCUGUGAACAUGGGACGCCGAUGACAUCAUGAUGGUGAAAUAUCACACACGUGUGCUGACAUGUGUGUGUGUGUGUGUUCCAGUUGUGAGGACCAAAGUUGGACGUGGAAAGGACAUUUCAGUAAAGUGUCACAUUUAACUGCUGUUGUAUUCACGUUAGCAGAUUAGCACGUUAGCACGUUAGCAUACCAAAAGGUUCCCUUUAAAAUUGUUCCGACAAGCGGCUCAUCGAUGUGUUACAUUUAUUCAUUUGUUGUCCCAAAGCUUUGGUCUUAAAGUUUCAGCCCCGAUGAUAAAAGUACAUGAACGCUAUGAAUGAAAAGAAAAGCAUAAACAUUUGUAAAUCAGCAUCUUUAAUCACAUCUUUUGGUACAGUUUCCUGUUUUAUUUUGCAAUACUGCCAAAGAUGUCGCCUCCAGAAGACGGCAACGGCCUUUGAGUGUCGAUGUAAGCAGGCAGAGCUUCAGCAGACGCUGGGAACGAUGAGGUUAAAUACAGUCAAAGGCUUCAUCACUGGAGAACAAGUUCAAUAAUGCAGGGAAGGAUUUAUUGAUUCAUACACGCGUGUCAUUUAGGCCUUUAGGUUUCAUUACAGUGUUUCCAUGUGUUGGGUCAUUUGUCCAAACAGUAGAAAUGAUACUUUUAAGAUUUAAAUAAAUAUAAAUGUACAGUUUCCUGACACCAGACUGAAUUAAUGGCUUCAUGUUACACAAAACAACAACAACAUCAAAUGCAGAACAAACACAAACGUUCUGCAUUUCAAUCAACUUUACUUCUUCUGCAAGUCCAACAGUGGUUUUCUCUUUGCAUUCGUUCUAAACCGUAUUAAUUGUAGGGAAGGUUUGAGUUGAUUGAGCGCUUUAUUCUCAGGUAGAACUUGUCUGUAGACUUUUCAGUGUACUCGCAUGAUGCGUCUCAAUAACUGGUUCUCUUCAGGAAACAUGGAAACAAAUGAAGUGUAACAUUAAGCUCGAUCCUGUUUGGUGUGUUUUGGUAGAUUGAAGCGCUCAUGUGACGCGUAAUUAACUAAUCUGGAUUUAAUCUCUUUAUGUGUCUGUCUAUAAUUUACAGAAUAAUCCGUGGAACGAGGGACGUUUUAGUUGGAAACACAUUCGUGCGUUUUCCCCUGUGGUCGUUCACACGUGGGGAUCGGCCUGCUGACUCGUCGUCACCCAAACAGCACCCGACUGAAACAAGGGAUCCGCCGCCGCUACGGGCGACAUCAGCUCCUCUGUGGCGUCAAAUGAAGUUCAGGUGACUGUGAGAAAGGAAAAUCAAUACUGAUCAAUAUCACCGCUGGACAGCUCAUCUCAAGACGCCUGCAGCUCGUCCCGUGUUUGAUCGAUGUCUCCAGAUGUGAGUGAGAUCCAGUCGGACGGCGCUGCUUGCUGGAGGAAAUAGUAUUUGUACGGUGUAGUUAUUGUACUUUCUGUUGUACUUGUGUUGGAAGGUCUACCACUGAAACAGAUUUAGCAACAUUUUCAAGAAUAAUUCCUCUUUCAUGUCAUGUUUCGUAAAGUAUAGAGAUGAAGAAGUGAUCAAUAUAAAUAUCCAGAUGUUUACUGAGCCAGAAUCAAUUUGGCAAAACUGUCUCGUCAAACGUAAAGAAUACCAUUUCCACAAAACGACUCUUCAACCCCCCCGAGACGGAGCCAGCAUUAUGAAUGCUAAGCUAUGCUAACGUGACGAUAAGUGUCCCCAAGACAGCGUUCAGAAGGAAAAAAGGAUAAAAUACCUCCCUGAUGUAUGAUGAGAACAUCUGUCACAACAUGAAUCCACGCUAUCAGUAUUUCGUUUCGAGUGAAAACAGACGCUUUCUGGGACUUUGACAUUAGAGACAUGAACGGAGACUCUACGGAGA
ensembl:lncRNA